rnacentral:rRNA from 1 species
UACAGAGGUGGCAAGCGUUGUUCGGAAUUACUGGGCGUAAAGGGCGCGUAGGCGGCCAUCUAAGUCAGACGUGAAAUCCCCCGGCUUAACCUGGGAACUGCGUCUGAUACUGGAAGGCUUGAGUAUGGGAGAGGGAUGUAGAAUUCCAGGUGUAGCGGUGAAAUGCGUAGAUAUCAGGAAGAACACCGGUGGCGAAGGCGGCUCUCUGGGCCUUACCUGACGCUGAGGAGCGAAAGCGUGGGUAGCGAACAGG